UUACGGCUAUAUCACGUUGAAACACCGAUUCUCCUACGAUUACAGAAAUUAAGAAACGUCAAGCCUGGUCAAUACCUAGAUGGGUGACCACUUGAGAAACUAGGUGCUGUAAU